UACAGAGGUCUCAAGCGUUGUUCGGAUUCAUUGGGCGUAAAGGGUGCGUAGGUGGCGGGGUAAGUCAGGUGUGAAAUCUCGGGGCUCAACCCCGAAACUGCACUUGAUACUGCCUUGCUCGAGUACUGGAGAGGAGAUUGGAAUUUACGGUGUAGCAGUGAAAUGCGUAGAUAUCGGGAGGAACACCGGUGGCGAAGGCGGCCUUCUGGACGGAUACUGACGCUGAUACGCGAAAGCGUGGGGAGCAAACAGG
rnacentral:rRNA from 1 species